rnacentral:rRNA from 1 species
GAUGAACGCUGGCGGCGUGCUUAACACAUGCAAGUCGAACGGAAAGGCCCAAGCUUGCUUGGGUACUCGAGUGGCGAACGGGUGAGUAACACGUGGGUGAUCUGCCCUGCACUUCGGGAUAAGCCUGGGAAACUGGGUCUAAUACUGGAUAGGACCACUUCUUGGAUGUUGUGGUGGAAAGUUUUUUCGGUGUGGGAUGAGCUCGCGGCCUAUCAGCUUGUUGGUGGGGUAAUGGCCUACCAAGGCGUCGACGGGUAGCCGGCCUGAGAGGGUGUACGGCCACAUUGGGACUGAGGUACGGCCCAGACUCCUACGGGAGGCAGCAGUGGGGAAUAUUGCACAAGGGGCGCAAGCCUGAUGCAGCGACGCCGCGUGGGGGAUGACGGCCUUAGGGUUGAAAACUCCUUUCGCUAGGGACGAAGCGUUUUGUGACGGUACCUGGAGAAGAAGCACCGGCUAACUACGUG